rnacentral:rRNA from 1 species
AUGCACACACACCCGACGCGCCCGACGCGUCCGAUGCGCACCCAUAACACGCACCGGCCUCGCACGGCUCGCCGCCGCGGCUUAUUGCCCACCACACGCGCCCUAAGCCGCGGCUCAGAGCAAGCCACCGUCCUCGACGCCGUCGUCCACCAGCAGGGUCCGCUCCGCCGCCGGCGCCUUCUUCGGCUACGGGCAGUCGCGCUUGAAAUGCCCGCGAUCGCCGCACUUGUAGCACCAUCCUCGCCGGUUGCCACCGAAGCCCGCAGCCUCGCUGCGUGCGUCGUCGUCGUCCCGCGCUCCGCCUUGACACCGCUCCCGCGCCCGCCACUGUGCCGCCGUGUACAGCAGCUCGCCAGCAGCUCGCCGUCAGUUCGCUCGUCGCCCACCUGUCCACGCCGACGCAGCCGCUCGUCGAACGCCUUCAGGCGCCCGAGCGCGUCCUCGAACAGAAGCAUUGACAGAUCGCAGAACUGUUCCAUCCCAGCAACCGCCGCGUAUAGGCGAUCUGGGACGCAGUCCAGCAGCUUCUUCACCAUCGCUGCGUCGUCAGGGGUCGAUCCCAGCCCCGCGUAG